CCCUUAGAUGUCCUGGGCCGCACGCGCGCUACACUGAUGCAUGCAACGAGUUUAUAACCUUGGCCUGAAAGGUCUGGGUAAUCUUUUGAACGUGCAUCGUGAUAGGGAUAGAUUAUUGCAAUUGUUAAUCUUGAACGAGGAAUUCCUAGUAAACGCGAGUCAUCAGCUCGCAUUGAUUACGUCCCUGCCCUUUGUACACACCGCCCGUCGCACCUACCGAUUGAAUGGUUCGGUGAAGAUCUCGGACUUCGAUAUUUAUUCUUUAUUGAGUUUAUAUUGUGGGAAGUUAUCUAAACCUCAUCACUUAGAGGAAGGAGAAGUCGUAACA
rnacentral:rRNA from 1 species